rnacentral:rRNA from 1 species
AUUGAACGCUGGCGGCAGGCCUAACACAUGCAAGUCGAGCGGAUGAAGGGAGCUUGCUCCUGGAUUCAGCGGCGGACUGGUGAGUAAUGCCUAGGAAUCUGCCUGGUAGUGGGGGAUAACGUCCGGAAACGGGCGCUAAUACCGCAUACGUCCUGAGGGAGAAAGUGGGGGAUCUUCGGACCUCACGCUAUCAGAUGAGCCUAGGUCGGAUUAGCUAGUUGGUGGGGUAAAGGCCUACCAAGGCGACGAUCCGUAACUGGUCUGAGAGGAUGAUCAGUCACACUGGAACUGAGACACGGUCCAGACUCCUACGGGAGGCAGCAGUGGGGAAUAUUGGACAAUGGGCGAAAGCCUGAUCCAGCCAUGCCGCGUGUGUGAAGAAGGUCUUCGGAUUGUAAAGCACUUUAAGUUGGGAGGAAGAGCAGUAAGUUAAUACCUUGCUGUUUUGACGUUACCAACAGAAUAAGCACCGGCUAACUUCGUG